GACGAACGCUGGCGUCGUGCUUAACACAUGCAAGUCGAACGGAAAGGCCCUGCUUUUGUGGGGUGCUCGAGUGGCGAACGGGUGAGUAACACGUGAGUAACCUGCCCUUGACUUUGGGAUAACUUCAGGAAACUGGGGCUAAUACCGGAUAGGAGCUCCUGCUGCAUGGUGGGGGUUGGAAAGUUUCGGCGGUUGGGGAUGGACUCGCGGCUUAUCAGCUUGUUGGUGGGGUAGUGGCUUACCAAGGCUUUGACGGGUAGCCGGCCUGAGAGAGUGACCGGCCACAUUGGGACUGAGAUACGGCCCAGACUCCUACGGGAGGCAGCAGUGGGGAAUAUUGCACAAUGGGCGGAAGCCUGAUGCAGCAACGCCGCGUGCGGGAUGACGGCCUUCGGGUUGUAAACCGCUUUCGCCUGUGACGAAGCGUGAGUGACGGUAAUGGGUAAAGAAGCACCGGCUAACUACGUGCCAGCAGCCGCGGUGAUACGUAGGGUGCGAGCGUUGUCCGGAUUUAUUGGGCGUAAAGGGCUCGUAGGUGGUUGAUCGCGUCGGAAGUGUAAUCUUGGGGCUUAACCCUGAGCGUGCUUUCGAUACGGGUUGACUUGAGGAAGGUAGGGGAGAAUGGAAUUCCUGGUGGAGCGGUGGAAUGCGCAGAUAUCAGGAGGAACACCAGUGGCGAAGGCGGUUCUCUGGGCCUUUCCUGACGCUGAGGAGCGAAAGCGUGGGGAGCGAACAGGCUUAGAUACCCUGGUAGUCCACGCUGUAAACGGUGGGUACUAGGUGUGGGGUCCAUUCCACGGGUUCCGUGCCGUAGCUAACGCUUUAAGUACCCCGCCUGGGGAGUACGGCCGCAAGGCUAAAACUCAAAGGAAUUGACGGGGCCCCGCACAAGCGGCGGAGCAUGCGGAUUAAUUCGAUGCAACGCGUAGAACCUUACCUGGGUUUGACAUGGAUCGGGAGUGCUCAGAGAUGGGUGUGCCUCUUUUGGGGUCGGUUCACAGGUGGUGCAUGGCUGUCGUCAGCUCGUGUCGUGAGAUGUUGGGUUAAGUCCCGCAACGAGCGCAACCCUUGUUCACUGUUGCCAGCACGUUAUGGUGGGGACUCAGUGGAGACCGCCGGGGUCAACUCGGAGGAAGGUGGGGAUGACGUCAAGUCAUCAUGCCCCUUAUGUCCAGGGCUUCACGCAUGCUACAAUGGCUGGUACAGAGAGUGGCGAGCCUGUGAGGGUGAGCGAAUCCCGGAAAGCCGGUCUCAGUUCGGAUUGNGGUCUGCAACUCGACCUCAUGAAGUCGGAGUCGCUAGUAAUCGCAGAUCAGCAACGCUGCGGUGAAUACGUUCCCGGGGCU
rnacentral:rRNA from 1 species